rnacentral:rRNA from 1 species
GCCAGACUCCUACGGGAGGCAGCAGUGGGGAAUAUUGCGCAAUGGGCGAAAGCCUGACGCAGCGACGCCGCGUGAGCGAUGAAGUAUUUCGGUAUGUAAAGCUCUCUCAGCGGGGAAGAAGAUGACGGUACCUGACUAAGAAGCCCCGGCUAACUACGUGCCAGCAGCCGCGGUAAUACGUAGGGGGCAAGCGCUAUCCGGAUUUACUGGGUGUAAAGGGAGCGUAGACGGCGAUGCAAGCCAGAUGUGAAAGGCCGGGGCUCAACCCCGGGACUGCAUUUGGAACUGUGUGGCUGGAGUGUCGGAGAGGCAGGCGGAAUUCCUAGUGUAGCGGUGAAAUGCGUAGAUAUUGGGAGGAACACCAGUGGCGAAGGCGGUCUGCUGGACAGCAACUGACGCUGAGGCGCGAAAGCGUGGGGAGCAAACAGGAUUAGAUACCCCAGUACA